CGUCACCUGCAUCACCCUACAUAUUUUCUCCACUUCAUCCAAGAAACACUUUUAGUCAAACACCUAUAAACAUAUCUUUCUCAUAUACUCUAAACUACCAUAAAUAACAACUUUCUUGCACUAUCCUUAGGAAGACACACAUAGAAUUUCAAACAAACCAUGAAUAAUAUCAAAAGAUCUACCUCGAUCAUCCUUCACACUUAUAGCAUGAAAUACAAUAAGCAUGGAAAAUUUUUUUCCUAUCUUGAGACAUUACGACUAUCAUUUCACAAGAGAAGUUCACUGGAAGGUUAGAAUAUGAGAAUCUAAAGCAUCAAAGGAUACUAUACGUAACUUGGACAGUUAAGUGAGGCC
rnacentral:lncRNA from 1 species